rnacentral:rRNA from 1 species
AUUGAACGCUGGCGGAAUGCUUUACACAUGCAAGUCGAGCGGCAGCGCGGGGGCAACCCCUGGCGGCGAGCGGCGAACGGGUGAGUAACAUAUCGGAACGUACCCCGUCGUGGGGGAUAACACAGCGAAAGCUGUGCUAAUACCGCAUACGACCUGAGGGUGAAAGCGGGGGAUCGCAAGACCUCGCGCGAUGGGAGCGGCCGAUAUCGGAUUAGCUUGUUGGUGAGGUAAAGGCUCACCAAGGCGACGAUCCGUAGCUGGUCUGAGAGGACGACCAGCCACACUGGAACUGAGACACGGUCCAGACUCCUACGGAGGCAGCAGUGGGGAAUUUUGGACAAUGGGGGCAACCCGUGAUCCAGCCAUUCCGCGUGAGUGAAGAAGGCC